GCCCCUAUCGUCUAGCGGCCCAGGACACCGGCUUCUCAGGCCGGGAACAGGGGUUCAAAUCCCCUUAGGGGUA
rnacentral:tRNA from 1 species